UACGUAGGGUGCGAGCGUUGUCCGGAUUCAUUGGGCGUAAAGAGCUCGUAGGCGGCUGUUCAAGUCGAACGUGAAAACUCGGAGCUCAACUCCGAGCCUGCGUUCGAUACUGGAUGGCUAGAGUCUGGUAGGGGGAUCUGGAAUUCCUGGUGUAGCGGUGGAAUGCGCAGAUAUCAGGAGGAACACCGGUGGCGAAGGCGGGAUCCUGGACCGGCAUUGACGCUGAGGCGCGAAAGCUAGGGGAGCAAACGGG
rnacentral:rRNA from 1 species